GAUGAACGCUGGCGGCGUGCCUAAUACAUGCAAGUCGAGCGAACGGACGAGAAGCUUGCUUCUCUGAUGUUAGCGGCGGACGGGUGAGUAACACGUGGAUAACCUACCUAUAAGACUGGGAUAACUUCGGGAAACCGGAGCUAAUACCGGAUGAUAUUUUGAACCGCAUGGUUCAAAAGUGAAAGACGGUCUUGCUGUCACUUAUAGAUGGAUCCGCGCUGCAUUAGCUAGUUGGUAAGGUAACGGCUUACCAAGGCAACGAUGCAUAGCCGACCUGAGAGGGUGAUCGGCCACACUGGAACUGAGACACGGUCCAAACUCCUACGGGAGGCAGCAGUAGGGAAUCUUCCGCAAUGGGCGAAAGCCUGACGGAGCAACGCCGCGUGAGUGAUGAAGGUCUUCGGAUCGUAAAACUCUGUUAUUAGGGAAGAACAUAUGUGUAAGUAACUGUGCACAUCUUGACGGUACCUAAUCAGAAAGCCACGGCUAACUACGU
rnacentral:rRNA from 1 species